rnacentral:rRNA from 1 species
CCUACAGGCGGCUGCAGUGGGGAAUAUUGCACAAUGGCGGAAACCCUGAUGCAUCGACGCCGCGUGAGUGAAGAAGUAAUUCGUUAUGUAAAGCUCUAUCAGCCGGGAAGAAAAUGACGGUACCUGAGCAAGAAGCCCCGGCUAACUACGUGCCAGCAGCCGCGGUAAUACGGAGGGGGCAAGCGUUAUCCGGAUUUACUGGGUGUAAAGGGAGCGUAGGCGGGAGUGCAAGGCUGGAGUUAAAGGCGGGGGCUCAAACCCCGGACUGCUCUGGAAACUGUACGGCUGGAGUGCAGGAGAGGUAAGUGGAAUGCGUAGUGUAGCGGUGAAAUGCGUAGAUAUUAGGAGGAACACC